GGGCGAACGGGGUGAGUAAUGCAUCGGAACGUACCUUUCAGUGGGGGAUAACGUAGCGAAAGUUACGCUAAUACCGCAUAUUCUGUGAGCAGGAAAGCAGGGGAUCGCAAGACCUUGCGCUGAUUGAGCGGCCGAUGUCAGAUUAGCUAGUUGGUGAGGUAAAGGCUCACCAAGGCGACGAUCUGUAGCGGGUCUGAGAGGAUGAUCCGCCACACUGGAACUGAGACACGGUCCAGACUCCUACGGGAGGCAGCAGUGGGGAAUUUUGGACAAUGGGCGCAAGCCUGAUCCAGCCAUGCCGCGUGAGUGAAGAAGGCCUUCGGGUUGUAAAGCUCUUUCGGCCGGGAAGAAAUCGCAUGGGUUAAUACCCUGUGUGGAUGACGGUACCGGAAUAAGAAGCACCGGCUAACUACGUG
rnacentral:rRNA from 1 species